rnacentral:rRNA from 1 species
GAGGAAUAAGCAUCGGCUAACUCCGUGCCAGCAGCCGCGGUAAUACGGGGGAUGCAAGCGUUAUCCGGAAUCAUUGGGCGUAAAGCGCCUGUAGGUUGUUUAAUAAGUCUGUUGUUAAAGACUAGGGCUCAACCCUAGAAAAGCAAUGGAAACUGUUAGACUAGAGUAUGGCAGGGGUAGAGGGAAUUUCUAGUGUAGCGGUGAAAUGCGUAGAUAUUAGAAAGAACACCAGUGGCGAAAGCGCUCUACUGGACCAUUACUGACACUCAGAGGCGAAAGCUAGGGUAGCAAAAGGGAUUAGAUACCCCUGUAGUCCUAGCCGCAAACGAUGGAUACUAGAUGUUGUAUUUAUUUUACAGUAUCGUAGCUAACGCGUUAAGUAUCCCGCCUGGGGAGUACGCUCGCAAGGGUGAAACUCAAAGGAAUUGACGGGGGCCCGCACAAGCGGUGGAGCAUGUGGUUUAAUUCGAUGCAACGCGAAGAACCUUACCAGGGCUUGACAUACUGCGAAUCUCCUUGAAAGAGGAGAGUGCCUUCGGGAAUGCAGAUACAGGUGGUGCAUGGCUGUCGUCAGCUCGUGUCGUGAGAUGUUGGGUUAAGUCCCGCAACGAGCGCAACCCUUGUUUUUAGUUACCAAUUCGUUGGGCUUUCUAGAAAGACUGCCGGUGACAAACCGGAGGAAGGUGAGGAUGACGUCAAGUCAGCAUGCCCCUUAUGUCCUGGGCUACACACGUGCUACAAUGGUUAGGACAAAGAGUCGCAAGUUUGCGAAAACAAGCUAAUCUCAUAAACCUAGCCUAAGUUCAGAUUGUAGGCUGCAACUCGCCUACAUGAAG